CACGUAGGAGGCGAGCGUUGUCCGGAAUCAUUGGGCGUAAAGAGCGCGCAGGCGGCUUGGCAAGUCGGGUGUGAAAUCCCGCGGCUCAACCGCGGGUCUGCAGUCGAUACGGGCAGGCUAGAGUUCGGUAGGGGGAGACUGGAAUUCCUGGUGUAGCGGUGAAAUGCGUAGAUAUCAGGAGGAACACCGGUGGCGAAGGCGCUCAUCUGGCCCAACUACUGACGCUGAUGCGCGAAAGCCAGGGGGAGCAAACGGG
rnacentral:rRNA from 1 species